UGCUGCUUUCUUAGAAACUUUCUAGAAAGAGAAAUGGAAGAAUAUUUUUAAACAAAGCUACCAGAGAAACAAUUUCUUGAUUUUUCUAAGAUCCGAUGUUCUAAGAGUUAUUAUCUAACCUUAUAGAUUUUCUUUUCUUUAUUAUUUUAUAAAAUUAUUUUUGAUUUUGACCGAAAUUAUGCAAUUUGUUGAGUGGUUGUGUCGGGGAUAGUGGCUUAAUCUGGGCCAUUCAAUUCUAUAUUUUAAUCUGCGGUGUGUGACAAUAGAUAAAACUAUUUUUGAUUUAAUAUGUGCUCGUCUGAAUCUUCCUGGUAUCCAAGUGAUGUGGUGAAAGUUGAAACAUGUUAUGAUGUUUUUCCAGCAUAUGCUCUCACCCUAAGGACUAUUUUGGUUUGUUGCGGCCAAUCGUCUCAUCGUUCGAUCGCCGGAAAACGAGCACCUGCAAAAAUGAGAAGUCCACACUGACCGGAGGCGGCUCCGGCGGAGACCCUCCGACGGUCAAGUCAGAGAGGUGACUGGGCAACAGUGAAAUGAAGACAGAGAGCUCGAUCGAGAGAGAAAAGGAGAGGGAGGAGCAGGCCUGUGGUUUAGAAGUCGAGAAGUGGGGGGAGCGGAUCGGAUCCCUUGCACUGUUGCCUUCCCCGAUUUAUAUAGUGGAGCACGGUAUGGCGCCGUCAUUAAUGGCGCAGACAAGUGAGGAACUGUCAACUCACUGUAAAUUGUCAGAGUCACCGUGAAAGUGUCAUGUCGCCACGAGACUGUCACAUCAUCAGGGUUGACAAUGCCCUCGGCGGGACAAUGCCCCUA
rnacentral:lncRNA from 1 species